UACGUAGGGGGCAAGCGUUGUCCGGAUUUAUUGGGCGUAAAGAGCGUGUAGGCGGUUUGGUAGGUCCGCUGUGAAAACUCGAGGCUCAACCUCGAGACGCCGGUGGAAACCAUCAGGCUAGAGUCCGGAAGAGGAGAGUGGAAUUCCUGGUGUAGCGGUGAAAUGCGCAGAUAUCGGAAGGAACACCAGUGGCGAAAGCGGCUUCCUGGUCCAGCACCGACGUCAGGCACGAAAGCGUGGGGAGCAAACAGG
rnacentral:rRNA from 1 species